rnacentral:rRNA from 1 species
UACGGAGGAUGCGAGCGUUAUCCGGAUUUAUUGGGUUUAAAGGGUGCGUAGGCGGAUCGUUAAGUCAGUGGUCAAAUUGAGGGGCUCAAUCCCUUCCCGCCAUUGAAACUGGCGAUCUUGAGUGGAAGAGAGGUAUGCGGAAUGCGUGGUGUAGCGGUGAAAUGCAUAGAUAUCACGCAGAACCCCGAUUGCGAAGGCAGCAUGCCGGCUUCCUACUGACGCUGAAGCACGAAAGCGUGGGGAUCGAACAGG